ACAGCAGUAGCCGCGGUAAAACGUAGGUGGCAAGCGUUGUCCGGAAUUAUUGGGCGUAAAGCGUGCGCAGGCGGUUGUGUAAGACAGGUGUGAAAUCCCCGGGCUUAACCUGGGAACUGCGCUUGUGACUGCACAGCUAGAGUAUGGCAGAGGGGGGUGGAAUUCCACGUGUAGCAGUGAAAUGCGUAGAGAUGUGGAGGAACACCGAUGGCGAAGGCAGCCCCCUGGGCCAAUACUGACGCUCAUGCACGAAAGCGUGGGGAGCAAACAGGAUUAGAUACCCCCGUAGUCCCUGUCUCUUAUAA
rnacentral:rRNA from 1 species